rnacentral:rRNA from 1 species
UUGACCUCGGAUCAGGUAGGGAUACCCGCUGAACUUAAGCAUAUCAAUAAGCGGAGGAAAAGAAACCAACAGGGAUUGCCUCAGUAACGGCGAGUGAAGCGGCAAGAGCUCAAAUUUGAAAGCUGGCCCCCUCGGGGUCCGCAUUGUAAUUUGCAGAGGAUGCUUCGGGAGUGGCCCCCAUCUAAGUGCUCUGGAACGGGCCGUCAUAGAGGGUGAGAAUCCCGUAUGGGAUGGGGUGUCCGCGACCAUGUGAAGCUCCUUCAACGAGUCGAGUUGUUUGGGAAUGCAGCUCUAAAUGGGUGGUAAAUUUCAUCUAAAGCUAAAUAUUGGCCGGAGACCGAUAGCGCACAAGUAGAGUGAUCGAAAGAUGAAAAGCACUUUGAAAAGAGAGUUAAAAAGCACGUGAAAUUGUUGAAAGGGAAGCGCUUGCGACCAGACUCGCCUACGGGGUUCAGCCGGUAUUCGUACCGGUGUACUUCCCCGUGGGCGGGCCAGCGUCGGUUUGGGCGGCCGGUCAAAGGCCCUCGGAAUGUAACGCCUCUCGGGGCGCCUUAUAGCCGAGGGUGCCAUGCGGCCAGCCCAGACCGAGGAACGCGCUUCGGCACGGACGCUGGCAUAAUGGUCGUAAGCGACC